UACAGAGGUCUCAAGCGUUGUUCGGAUUCAUUGGGCGUAAAGGGUGCGUAGGUGGCGCCGUAAGUCAGGUGUGAAAUUCCGGAGCUUAACUCCGAAACUGCAUUUGAUACUGCGGUGCUUGAGGACUGGAGAGGAGACUGGAAUUUACGGUGUAGCAGUGAAAUGCGUAGAGAUCGUAAGGAAGACCAGUGGCGAAGGCGGGUCUCUGGACAGUUCCUGACACUGAGGCACGAAGGCUAGGGGAGCAAACGGG
rnacentral:rRNA from 1 species